GAUGAACGCUGGCGGCGUGCCUAAUACAUGCAAGUCGAGCGAACAGACGAGGAGCUUGCUCCUCUGACGUUAGCGGCGGACGGGUGAGUAACACGUGGAUAACCUACCUAUAAGACUGGGAUAACUUCGGGAAACCGGAGCUAAUACCGGAUAAUAUAUUGAACCGCAUGGUUCAAUAGUGAAAGACGGUUUUGCUGUCACUUAUAGAUGGAUCCGCGCCGCAUUAGCUAGUUGGUAAGGUAACGGCUUACCAAGGCAACGAUGCGUAGCCGACCUGAGAGGGUGAUCGGCCACACUGGAACUGGGACACGGUCCAGACUCCUACGGGAGGCAGCAGUAGGGUAUCUUCCGCAAUGGGCGAAAGCCUGACGGAGCAACGCCGCGUGAGUGAUGAAGGUCUUCGGAUCGUAAAACUCUGUUAUGAGGGAAGAACAAAUGUGUAAUUAACUAUGCACGUCUUGACGGUACCUAAUCAGAAAGCCACGGCUAACUACGUG
rnacentral:rRNA from 1 species